rnacentral:rRNA from 1 species
CCUACGGGUGACAGCAGUGAGGAAUCUUGGUCAAUGGUCGGAAGCCUGAACCAGCCAAGCCGCGUGCGGGAGGAAGGUACUGCGGAUUGUAAACCUCUUUUAUGAGGGAACAAAGCCUGGUACGCGUCCCCCGAUGCGUGUACCUGACGAACAAGGAUCGGCUAACUCCGUGCCAGCAGCCGCGGUAAUCCGGAGGCUGCGUGCGUUAUCCGGAUUUAUUGGGUUUAAAGGGGGGGCAGGCCGUCUGGUAAGGCUGGGGGGAAAGCCCGGGGCUCAACCCCGGCCCGGCGGUUGAAAUUGGCAGGCUCGAGUGAGAGAGAAGUAGGCGGAAUGCGCGGUGUAGCAGUGAAAUGCAUAGAUAU